rnacentral:lncRNA from 1 species
ACACCUUGUGUUUCAUCAAUACAAAAGUUGAGGACCCACCGAAACCUAUUAACCACCACUUUAGAAAUAACAUUGUAAAUAACAUUACAAAGAGUAAUAGGUCAAAACAGGCCUAUAUUUUUUGGCAUAGGCACUUUAGGAAUUAGCACGAUAUUCAUUUGAUUGACUUCCUUUAUAUCCUUUCGACCAUUCAGCACCUGUAAACAAUACCUAACAACAUUAUUCCCUAUAACAUGCCAAAACUUUUGAUAGAAAAAUGUCGGGAAACUAUCCUUACUUGACGCCUUGAGUAGAGCCAUAGAUUUCAC